AAGGGGCGCAAGCCUGAUCCAGCCAUGCCGCGUGUGUGAAGAAGGCUUUCGGGUUGUAAAGCACUUUCGGACGGAACGAAAUCGCGCGGGCGAAUACCCCGCGUGGAUGACGGUACCGUAAGAAGAAGCACCGGCUAACUACGUGCCAGCAGCCGCGGUAAUACGUAGGGUGCUAGCGUUAAUCGGAAUUACUGGGCGUAAAGCGUGCGCAGGUGGCGUCGCAAGUCAGGCGUGAAAUCCCCGAGCUUAACUUGGGAAUCGCGCUUGAAGCUACGAUGCUGGAGUGCGGCAGAGGGAGGUGGAAUUCCACGUGUAGCGGUGAAAUGCGUAGAGAUGUGGAGGAACACCGAUAGCGAAGGCAGCCUCCUGGGUCGACACUGACGCUCAUGCACGAAAGCGUGGGGAGCAUA
rnacentral:rRNA from 1 species